rnacentral:rRNA from 1 species
CGUUGCUAAUACCGCAUAAGACCACACUGCCGCAUGGCAGAGAGGUCAAAGGAGCAAUCCGCUGUAAGAGGGGUUCGCGUCCAUUAGAUAGUAGGCGGGGUAAUGGCCCACCUAGUCAAUGAUGGGUAGCCGAGCUGAGAGGCUGAUCGGCCACACUGGAACUGAGACACGGUCCAGACUCCUACGGGAGGCAGCAGUGGGGAAUAUUGGGCAAUGGGCGAAAGCCUGACCCAGCAACGCCGCGUGAGGGAAGAAGGUUUUCGGAUUGUAAACCUCUGUUCUUGGUGACGAACAAAAUGACGGUAGCCAAGGAGCAAGCCCCGGCUAACUACGUGCCA